rnacentral:rRNA from 1 species
UGGGGAAUCUUGCACAAUGGGCGAAAGCCUGAUGCAGCGACGCCGCGUGGGGGAUGAAGCAUUUCGGUGUGUAAACCCCUUUCGACUGGGAAGAAUGUCCGCUUUCGGGCGGAAGUGACGGUACCAGUAGAAGAAGCCCCGGCUAACUACGUGCCAGCAGCCGCGGUAAGACGUAGGGGGCCAGCGUUGUUCGGAAUUACUGGGUGUAAAGGGUUCGUAGGCGGUGCGGCAAGUUGGGAGUGAAAUCUCUGGGCUCAACCCAGAGGCUGCUUCCAAAACUGCUGUGCUCGAGUGUGAGAGAGGCUCGUGGAAUUGCAGGUGUAGCGGUGAAAUGCGUAGAUAUCUGCAGGAACACCCGUGGCGAAAGCGGCGAGCUGGAUCACUACUGACGCUGAGGAACGAAAGCUAGGGGAGCAAACAGGAUUAGAUACCCCCGUAGUCC